CCUGAGAAACCCAAAAGAUCGAAUGAGGAGAUUCAUCGUCAGCGACUCUGGCUUACGUGCGGUUUUCUAGCGAUGGCCGUUGCCCUUUCGGGGUUUACGCGUCACGCGGCCGCUGCGGCAUGUCCCUCGUCGUCGGCGUGCACUUCUCCUCUAGUAGGACGUCGCGACCCGUUGGGUGUCGGCCUACGGCCCGAUCGGUCGACUGUCGCGGACCGCGCUCUUACGAGCGUGCUGUUUUGCGCGACAGACCAUCGGUUGCCUGGCCGGCUGCCCGGCGGUAAUGAUCGAGCAAUAUUGGUAUUGAGCCGCAUCUGUGCGUUCUUGGCUCGUCGGCAGGCUCGCCUCGCUCGGAUUUACGGACCUAGCGCCGUUGUCGGGUGCUUGGCGUUGCCGUUAGUCGACAAUGUCCUCGGACUGGCUCCGUUACAUUCGAACGAAUAUACCGGUCGGCGACGCUACUGCUUUGGGUACUUUC
rnacentral:rRNA from 1 species